CACUAAUUACCGCCAGAAUAUAUCUGCUCCUUCAACCCCAAAACAAUCAAUGUUGAAACCACAGAUUCACCACUCUCAUUCCUCAAGAACCCUCUUCCUGUUGCCCAACCCAUUCAUCCUUGGAAAUGGCCAAGCCCAUCUUCCUGUCAUUUCCAAGUCCUCCUCUACUAAAACUCUGAGAAAAAUCCGAUCAGUUGGCUAUAAACCUGGAAAUAUCAAAGCCAUAGCAAGC
rnacentral:misc_RNA from 1 species